rnacentral:rRNA from 1 species
UACGUAGGGCGCAAGCGUUGUCCGGAAUUAUUGGGCGUAAAGAGCUCGUAGGCGGUCUGUUGCGUCGGCUGUGAAAACCCGAGGCUCAACCUCGGGCCUGCAGCCGAUACGGGCAGACUAGAGUUCGGCAGGGGAGACUGGAAUUCCUGGUGUAGCGGUGAAAUGCGCAGAUAUCAGGAGGAACACCGAUGGCGAAGGCAGCUCGCUGGGACGGUACUGACGCUGAGGCGCGAAAGCGUGGGGAGCAAACAGG